rnacentral:rRNA from 1 species
GAUGAACGCUGGCGGCGUGCCUAAUACAUGCAAGUCGAGCGAAUGGAUUAAGAGCUUGCUCUUAUGAAGUUAGCGGCGGACGGGUGAGUAACACGUGGGUAACCUGCCCAUAAGACUGGGAUAACUCCGGGAAACCGGGGCUAAUACCGGAUAACAUUUUGAACAGCAUGGGUCGAAAUUGAAAGGCGGCUUCGGCUGUCACUUAUGGAUGGCCCCGCGUCGCAUUAGCUAGUUGGUGAGGUAACGGCUCACCAAGGCAACGAUGCGUAGCCGACCUGAGAGGGUGAUCGGCCACACUGAGACUGAGACACGGCCCAGACUCCUACGGGAGGCAGCAGUAGGGAAUCUUCCGCAAUGGACGAAAGUCUGACGGAGCAACGCCGCGUGAGUGAUGAAGGCUUUCGGGUCGUAAAACUCUGUUGUUAGGGAAGAACAAGUGCUAGUUGAAUAAGCUGGCACCUUGACGGUACCUAACCAGAAAGCCACGGCUAACUACGUGCCAGCCGCCGCGGUAA